UACGGGGGGGGCAAGCGUUGUUCGGAAUUACUGGGCGUAAAGGGCUCGUAGGCGGCCAACUAAGUCAGACGUGAAAUCCCUCGGCUUAACCGGGGAACUGCAUCUGAUACUGGAUGGCUUGAGUUCGGGAGAGGGAUGCGGAAUUCCAGGUGUAGCGGUGAAAUGCGUAGAUAUCAGGAGGAACACCGGUGGCGAAGGCGGCUGUCUGGACAGUAACUGACGCUGAGGCGCGAAAGCUAGGGGAGCAAACAGG
rnacentral:rRNA from 1 species